rnacentral:rRNA from 1 species
UACAGAGGUCUCAAGCGUUGUUCGGAUUCAUUGGGCGUAAAGGGUGCGUAGGCGGCGCGGUAAGUCGGGUGUGAAAUCUCGGAGCUUAACUCCGAAACUGCAUUCGAUACUGCCGUGCUUGAGGACUGGAGAGGAGACUGGAAUUUACGGUGUAGCGGUGAAAUGCGUAGAUAUCGUAAGGAAGACCAGUGGCGAAAGCGAGUCUCUGGGCAGCAUCUGACACUGAGGCACGAAGGCCAGGGGAGCAAACGGG